UACGUAGGGGGCUAGCGUUGUCCGGAAUCAUUGGGCGUAAAGAGCGUGUAGGCGGCCCGGUAAGUCCGCUGUAAAAGUCAAAGGCUCAACCUUUGAAUGUCAGUGGAUACUGCCGGGCUAGAGUCCGGAAGAGGCGAGUGGAACUCCUGGUGUAGCGGUGGAAUGCGCAGAUAUCGGGAGGAAUACCAGUGGCGAAGGCGGCCUUCUGGACUGACACUGACGCUGAGGCGCGAAAGCUAGGGGAGCAAACGGG
rnacentral:rRNA from 1 species